UCCAGAUGAACCACUAAACAGCUACAGCGCAAGACUUUGGAAUAGCCCCCACCCAACAAUGUCAUCUGUCCUAAGAGGCAGAGUUUUGGGUUUUUUGGUAAGUUAUUUAUUAUAGCAGACAUUCACAGUAAGGUCUUUUUUGUCAGUGUUCAUACCUCCUCUCCAGUCUGUUUGCUUAUGUUUCUGCACCCUUGCUCCUGUAUGUCUUUUCUCCCACUUUGUCUAAUCUUUCGGUAUUUGUGCUUUUCUGGGAUCCUGGAAUUUGCUCUAUUGCCUUAACUACUUUCUAGUGACUGCAUUCUUCUGGGUCCUGACUCCCUUUCAAUCCAUCCAUUGCCUUGCAUUACCCUUGGGUUUCAUGGGUCAACACCUCACUAUCUUCCUCUGAGCACAGAGGUCUGUGCAACUCAAUUCUAUAUGGUUCACCUGCUCCUGACUUACAUGUAUCUAUCUAUUACUUGGAUCUCUUACCUUACAGAAGGUUGAUGGCUUAUAUAAUGACAGUGAUGUCCAUACAAAUUAAUUUUAAUGGUGCCACAAUUUUCAAACUUUAGUUUCUCAGGUUGCACAAGGACCACUAGAAGUUCUGAAUUUAGUAUGUAAAAACUUUUUCUCAAUUAAAAAUAUUUUUAUGCUUCUGAAUAUUGUAUGAUUUUGUCCUAAAUGGAAAUAGAUUUUAUCUCUAUAGGAAGAGAUGUGUGGAAUCAAAUAUCUGAAUAAAUUAUGUCAUGUGAAUACAGC
rnacentral:lncRNA from 1 species